UCCGAUAUGGUGUAGUGGUUAACAUCGUUCGCUCUCAUUCGAACUCAUACUUCGAGUUGAUCCGAACAGCCCCGGGUUCGAUUCCCGGUGUCGGAA